AAUAAUCGGUCGAAUAGCAAUAAUAUUUUAAAAGAUACGUUAAAAAAUAAUCUACGACAAGCGUAAAGAGAAAUAAUCGUUUCAAGUAAAAGUAAGCCAUUCUACGAUUAUUCGUCACUAGGCUCAAAUAAGAAAAGUAAAGAAAAUGGACAAAUAGGUUCCGCAUGAGUUAAGCGAUACACAGAAAGUUGGAUGGAUAGAAAUAACCACCUGUUACUUCAAAGAAACCCACCAGGAUCCAU